GUCCACGCCCUAAACGAUGAAUACUCGAUGUUGGCGAUAUACGGUCAGCGUCUAAGCGAAAGCAUUAAGUAUUCCACCUGGGGAGUACGCCCGCAAGGGUGAAACUCAAAGGAAUUGACGGGGGCCCGCACAAGCGGAGGAGCAUGUGGUUUAAUUCGAUGAUACGCGAGGAACCUUACCCGGGCUUGAAAGUUAGUGAAUGAUUCAGAGACGAAUCAGUCCUUCGGGACGACGAAACUAGGUGGCUGCAUGGCUGUCGU
rnacentral:rRNA from 1 species